UAACUCCACUAAAAGUCCACCAACAUCUAUAACAUGUACUUCUCGUUAGUGUAUACAUGUUCAUUUCUUUGAUACAAAUAGUCCAAUCUACUUGAGGUGGCCCACCAGGUCAACAAUACCAAUCACAAUAUGUGUUUUCCAUGUGAACUGAAGGGAGUGAGCUGCAGAGAAGAGAAUCAUACAAAUGUUCCUCUUAAACUAAAGAUCAAUUCAUUAUGGAGCAGAGAAUUUUGUGAUGAGAGUAGGCCUAUGAAUCCAUUCAGGCAGAUAGGUGUGUGUUAUAUCAGAGCCGCUCAUCACGACAUCUCACAAUUUAAAUGGCAUGUCUUAGAAAUCAGUUCGUAUGUAUACAAGAUAAAUGCAUUGUUAAUAGGAUCAAUGGCCCACAUUAAACACACACAUGUAGCUUACCUGAUGGUCAGCUUGGCCCGAUCCUUGGUAGAAAAGAAUAUUCCUAGUGGGGAUGGCUUGACAUCUUCACACUGGAGCUAGCAUGUCUCUUGUCACAUCUUAUUUCCAUGGAAUUUUUUGUGGUAACAUAAGGAAAUUUUGGGAACCAAACCUGGCAUCCCACUAAUAAUACUACUCCAAGAACCGGGAGUAGCUGAAUCUGAGUUUGCUAUGAUUGAUAUGGGAACACUCAUCAAGAAAUUUCUUAAUCUUCGCAAUCCGGGUCCUCUAAUUGUACCUAAAGGAGCUCUUGCAAAAUCGCCUCCCGAACCAAUUACCUUGCCUCCAUGGUUGUGUGAAGAGGAUAUUGAUUAUUAUGUCAGUAAAUUCAACAAGUCAAGCUUUACUGGAGGACUGAACUACUACUGAAAUAUAGAUCCGUAUGUUUUCUACCAACUUCUUUUUAAUUGUUAUAAGUUGCUGAUUUGAAAUAUGUCUCUUAUUAGAAUGA